rnacentral:rRNA from 1 species
CGUAGGGGGCAAGCGUUGUCCGGAUUCACUGGGCGUAAAGCGCGUGUAGGCGGCCGAGAAAGUCGGGUGUGAAAGCCCGGGGCUCAACCCCGGGAUGCCGCUCGAAACUGCUCGGCUUGAGGACGGAAGAGGGGAGUGGAAUUCCUGGUGUAGCGGUGAAAUGCGUAGAGAUCAGGAGGAACACCCGUGGCGAAGGCGGCUCCCUGGUCCGUUACUGACGCUGAGACGCGAAAGCGCGGGGAGCGAACGGGAUUAGAUACCCCGGUAGUCCGCGCCGUAAACGAUGGUCACUAGGUGUCCGCGGUAUCGACCCCGCGUGUGCCGGCGCUAACGCAUUAAGUGACCCGCCUGGGGAGUACGGCCGCAAGGUUG